rnacentral:tRNA from 1 species
GCGCCCGUAGCUCAGCUGGAUAGAGCGCUGCCCUCCGGAGGCAGAGGUCUCAGGUUCAAAUCCUGUCGGGCGCG